AUGGAGAGGUUCCGUGGGUUUUGUCGAGCCAUGGCUUACAGACAACUACUUUGACAACUAAAGUGGAUGGCAAUGAUGGCAAGCCUGAACACCUAGAGUAUAUUGCCUUUGCUUUGGUUCCUGUUUUCUUCAUCAUGGGUCUCUUGGGGAUCCUUAUCUGCCAUAUCCUUAAGAAAAAAGGAUACCGUUGUACAACAGAGGCUGAAGAACUAGAAGAAGAAAAAAUUGAUGAAAAAAUAGAAAUGAAUGAAACUAUACAUGAGAAUAGUGACACUGUGGGACAAAUUGUUAACUACAUCAUGAAAAAUGAAGCAAAUGCUGAUGUGUUAAAGGCCAUGGUAGCAGAUAGCAGUGUCUUUGAACCUGAAAGCCCAUUAUCUCCUACCUCUCCUGAGAGUCCAGUGAGUCCAGGGACUCCUUUGUCACCAGGUGUUGUUCCGUUCAGACACAACUGCAAAGCCCAUCACUUCCAUACUGUUGGAGGAGUGGUGGAAAAGGAUGUUUGUACUCGCUGUAGUCACAAACGAUGGCACCUCAUAAAGCCAGCUCAAAAAUCUAAAGAGAACAGAAGAAGUCGUAUUGGAGAAGUUACAGUGCUUUCUGUGGGAAGAUUUCGAGUCACAAAAGUGGAUCACAAAUCCAACUCGAAGGAGCGGAAGAGCUUGAUGUCCGUUACUGGCGUGGAGAGCGUCAAUGGGGAGAUGCCAGCGAAGCAGGACGUGAGCGAAGCGCCCGCCACACCCGCCAAACAGGACGUGCAAGAGAGGAGGAGCUCAGAGUGAAGAUCUGUGGAGCUUUGACUAAUAGCAGUGGAGUCACAUGAAACUGCUGAUCUCACAGGGAUCUAACUAAGCCUGGCGGUUGGGGUUUUCUUGUGUGCCUUUUAGAAGAAGAUUGUCUGCAAGCACUUUGGAGAAAACUGAAAACUCCCAAACAAUGCAUACUAUUUUAAGAAAUGUAUUUAUGGCAAUGUAGCAUUUUAAAUGUUCUGUGAUGUCAUUCCUGCAAGGUUAAGCACUUAAUGGUUUUUCACCAGUAAAAUAGUGAGAUUUAGACACUUAAAUACUGUUGAGCUGUGCGGACAUCAUAACGAAUGGCUUCAUCUUGGGAAGAAAACAUACGUACAAGUUUUUGGACAGGAAAGGUAAAAGCUUUAUCAAGUCUUAAACUUUUUUUAGACAAGCAUUUAUGAGCUCAGUAUAAAGAGUAAUACAAUUACCUCGUGGAUAAACUGCAUUCACCCCAGUGGUCCAUCUGGAUUUUUCUUCUGUUCUGACCACUGCAAAAUUGACAAGUGUUUGCUGAAGAUAAAAGCCAGCCUUUGAAAGAUGGAAAUAUUCUUUUAAUCUAACUGCUUGUAGCCAAGUAAAACAUAAAAGGAAAUAAUUGUCAGCCAAAUCUGCACGUGUGCCUUCAGUACGUAAAGUCAGCUCUGUGCAGGGUACCUCACAGUAGAGACUGGUUCAGUUAUAUGCAGAUGUUAAAUUAAAUUGUUGUUCCCCAGACCCAUAUCUCUCUCUUACUACUUGACAUAGGCUGAAGAGCAUCUUUUUGUAUGCUGUUGGAUGAGCUCUUGGUGAGGUUACUUUCCUCAAGGCCUUGUGUUCUCCUGUUUUCUUGUAACUGCUCUCUCAUAUUUGAAGAGUGCCUAAUAGUUUUGCUUUUCUUUUCUUGUUCUUACCCACAGGUUCCUUAUUAAGUUAAGGCAACAUAUUUCAAGCCUUAGAUAAGGAUAUGGAAUAUUGGGCAUUAAAAAUUUUAUGGAAUAUUAUACUGAAGUGCUUCAGAGUGGCUUUAUUGGACUGAGGGUAGUUGUAUACAUUGGCAACAAAAUCUUAAGCCAGUGUUACUCCUUUCAUAUUUUAAGUGUGGCUUAAUGCUAAGAUUUCCAUGGUAUUCUCAUAUUAAUUUUCUGUAUCUACUUAUGAUCUCAGCUUUGUCCUGUUACUUGUUCUGGGGAGAGAAAUCUCUGUAAUAUUUCAGCAAGCUUUUCUGUGUAACAGAAAAUCAUAUCAUUUGUUCUGAGUGCCUAAGAAUAUAAGCUCUAAUAUAAUGCUUUUUAGUAGAGAUUGCACUAUAUUCUGAGAACUAUAACUUAAUCUGCUUUAUGAACUCAAGGAAAAUCAGUGUAUGGUUUUGAAAUGGAUUUAUUUUCAAUUGAUACCUUCUGUCUUUUUAAACAAGAGCUCUAAAUUGUGUUUCUUCUUCAUAUCUGAGACUUGUAUUUCUUCAUUGAUUUAUGUAUGCAGUGUUAACAAUCAGUGUGUACAAAAUUACUCUUCUUGCUUGUGUAUUAGUUACUCUCAUGUCUUGCCAGGAAGCAUCAAGUUUUUUCACUCUUGCUACAAGUAUGUGCUGCUGAUGGUCUUCCUUCUGUGUGUAUCCACAAGAUACCGACUGGUCCUAUCAAUGUUCUUUUCAACGAUGCUAUGUUUGCCAAAAACCCUACCACUACCCAAACUUUGAAAAUAAUAAAUGUUUUAUUGUUCUUUUCAAAAUGGAUAUUUUUAGAAAUAAUUGUCUGUCCUUGAGAACUCAAAAUAACUAUUUGGCUGGAACUCUAACUUCAGUGUUUAGCACUGCUCCCUGCUCCCAUAAAUUUAAAAUCAGCUUGUGAAACAUCUUCAAUAUUUAAGUACAACAUAAACAGCAACCUCAUUUUAAAGGCACACAUUAAGCUUCACAUGAUUAUUUGUGUGAACAAUAUUUCUAGAAGAUUUAAUUAGUAUUGGUUGUAGUAAUAAGCUUUCAGUUUCCAAGUGAUUGAUAGCUAUGAGUAUAAAGUGUUGCUGGAAAAAGGGAGCAUUGGAGAAAACAGCAGUUUUCAAUUAAUUUUCAGAAAAGAUACAAAGUUCCAGACUGUCCCCAAAGCUUUUUCUAAAAAAAGGGCGGUUUGUCUUGAUACAGUGUUUUGAUGCAUGAUGGGUUAGUAUGGCAAAUAAAUGGCAAAAGGAUGGAAGAAAGUUUAAAUGGUCAUUUGUAUUUUUUCUACUUAUUUUAAAAGUAGUUUCUAUUUUGAUUCCAUUGAAAAUACAUAGAAUAAAAGGGAUGGAAAGAUGUUGGGUAUGUAAAAUAUUGUUUACCUGUAUAAAGUAAUUAUGUAAGGUAUUAUGAGACUUGAUAUGUGCAAGAAUUGAAUUUAUGCAUUGCUACCUAAGCAAAAGAGGAUUUAGAAACUGCCUGUUUCAUUGCUUUUAACACUACACUGCUGUUGUAGGGGUAUGCAUAUUGCCAUAUUAGUCUGCUUUUCUUAAAUUUGCUUAUCAAAUGUAUUUUUAACAAAAUAGUUUAUAUACAACUUUUAUACUACAAAGCAGUAAAUAAAAAAAUAUUGAUUCUUAA